rnacentral:rRNA from 1 species
AUUGAACGCUGGCGGCAGGCCUAAUACAUGCAAGUCGAGCGAGCGGCGGACGGGUGAGUAAUGUAUGGGGACUGCCCGAUAGAGGGGGAUAACUACUGGAAACGGUAGCUAAUACCGCAUACUAUCGGAUAACCCAUAUGGGAUUCGCUGGUGGGUGAGGUAAUGGCUCACCUAGGCGACGAUCCCUAGCUGGUCUGAGAGGAUGAUCAGCCACACGGGGACUGAGACACGGCCCAGACUCCUACGGAGGCAGCAGUGGGGAAUCUUGCGCAAUGGGCGCAAGCCUGAUGGAGCCAUGCCGCGUGUAUGAAGAAGGCCCUAGGGUUGUAAAGUACUUUUAGUCGGGAGGCGGUACCGAAAGAAGAAGCAACGGCUAACUCCGUGCCAGCCGCCGCGGUAAUAC